AGAACGAACGCUGGCGGCAUGCCUAAUACAUGCAAGUCGAACGAGAUCUUCGGAUCUAGUGGCGCACGGGUGCGUAACGCGUGGGAAUCUACCCUUGGGUUCGGAAUAACAGUUGGAAACGACUGCUAAUACCGGAUGAUGACGAAAGUCCAAAGAUUUAUCGCCCAAGGAUGAGCCCGCGUAGGAUUAGCUAGUUGGUGAGGUAAAGGCUCACCAAGGCUACGAUCCUUAGCUGGUCUGAGAGGAUGAUCAGCCACACUGGGACUGAGACACGGCCCAGACUCCUACGGGAGGCAGCAGUAGGGAAUAUUGGACAAGUGGGGCAACCUGAUCCAGCAAUGCCGCGUGAGUGAG
rnacentral:rRNA from 1 species